rnacentral:rRNA from 1 species
UACUAGAGUAGCACUCGCAUAUCAAUAAGCGGAGGAAAAGAAACUAACAAGGAUUCCCCUAGUAACGGCGAGUGAGGCGGGAAGAGCUCAAAUUUGAAAUCUUAAAAGGGUUUCCCUUUACGAAUUGUAGUUUAAAGAAGUGUUUUCUGUUGAGGUUUUGGUAAAAGUUCUUUGGAAUAGGACAUCAUAGAGGGUGAGAAUCCCGUAUUUGACCUUUACUUUCAACUUUGUGAUACACUUUCAAAGAGUCGGAUUGUUUGGGAAUGCAGUCCAAAAUGGGUGGUAAAUUUCAUCUAAAGCUAAAUAUUGGCGAGAGACCGAUAGCGAACAAGUACCGUGAGGGAAAGAUGAAAAGAACUUUGAAAAGAGAGUUAAACAGUACGUGAAAUUGUCAAAAGGGAAGCGUUUGACACCAGUGUUGUUUUUCUGAAAAUCAAUUAAAGAACUGUUUAUGCUAAGCUGUUUAGACUUUAUCAGCUAAUCUGUUUAGUUUUGAGCUUUUCUUUAAUGCACUUUUCAGUUAACAAGUCAACAUCAAUUUCUUUUGCUGUAAAAAAGCUUGAGGAAGGUGGCUUGAGAUUCGUCUUAAGUGUUUAUAGCCUCUUGCCUAUGCAGUCGGAGAGAUUGAGGUCUGCAGCGUAGAUCCUUCGGGGCUAAAUGCAUUUGUGCUAAGUUAUAGCAUUUUAUAGACAACUUGUUGACUAUGAUUUGUCUUGUAGCUUACUCGCUUAUGUUAUUUUACCUACGCUUAGGAUGUUGAGCGCAUGUCUCUCUCU